AACUGAGAGAAAACAACAAGCGGAAAAGUUCAGUUAGGAGUCAGUAUGCAUUCUUAGUAAAUACACUCUAAAUAACUGUUGGGUGGAGUCUGUUGGGUCAUAUGCUGAGUAGUUUUUGUGUGUUGGUAGCUGGGUCAAUCUAGCUGAAACUACUCUCCUCCCCUCCCUUUCCCUCCGACGAAACAACCCACUGCGGGGUUACUUUAACUGCUGUUUGGGUUACAGUCAGAGCGGGGGAUUUCUGCAUCCUCUUCAGGAGAGAGCGGUUCUCUGCGCCGCUGGACUGAUGCACUUCUUCAGUGAAAUAAAGGUUAUGGAGUCAGUCACAGCGUCUUUCAGUGAAACGAGGUUCACAGUUCCCCCGCCGAACUGCAGCCCAUCACCGGCUCAGAUUUUGGUGACACACCGGCACGAGAAUCAAAACUAUUUUGGUUAAAAGUGAAAACAGAGAACGGUUGAAUGAUUUUUUUAUUAUUAUUAUUUCUAAAAUGCUUGUUAAAUGAGUGUAUGUAAUAUUGUUAACUAUGCUUUAUUCACCCAAAUAAAUUCAAUUUGUCUUUU